GACGAACGCUGGCGGCGUGCUUAACACAUGCAAGUCGAACGGAAAGGCCCUGCUUUUGUGGGGUGCUCGAGUGGCGAACGGGUGAGUAACACGUGAGUAACCUGCCCUUGACUUUGGGAUAACUUCAGGUAACUGGGGCUAAUACCGGCUAGGAGCUCCUGCUGCAUGGUGGUGGUUGGAAAGUUUCGGCGGUUGGGGAUGGACUCGCGGCUUAUCAGCUUGUUGGUGGGGUAGUGGCUUACCAAGGAUUUGACGGGUAGCCGGCCUGAGAGGGUGACCGGGGACAUUGGGACUGGGAUACGGCCAAGACUCCUACGGGAGGCAGCAGUGGGGAAGAUUGUACAAUGGGCGGAAGCGUGAUGCAGCAAGGCCGCGUGCGGGAUGACGGCCUUCGGGUUGGAAACCGCUUUGGCCUGUGACGAAGCGUGAGUGAGGGUAAUGGGUAAAGAAGCACCGGCUAACUACGGG
rnacentral:rRNA from 1 species